AUACGUAGGGGGCGAGCGUUGUCCGGAAUGAUUGGGCGUAAAGGGCGCGUAGGCGGCCUGUUAAGUCUGGAGUGAAAGUCCUGUUUUCAAGAUGGGAAUUGCUUUGGAUACUGAUGGGCUUGAGUGCAGGAGAGGUUAUCGGAAUCCCCGGUGUAGCGGUGAAAUGCGUAGAGAUCGGGAGGAACACCAGUGGCGAAGGCGGGUAACUGGACUGCAACUGACGCUGAGGCGCGAAAGUGUGGGGAGCAAACAGGAUUAGAUACCCUGGUAGUCCACGCCGUAAACGAUGAUUACUAGGUGUUGGUUGUCAUAGACAAUCGGUGCCGCAGCAAACGCAAUAAGUAAUCCACCUGGGGAGUACGGCCGCAAGGUUGAAACUCAAAUGAAUUGACGGGG
rnacentral:rRNA from 1 species